GAAACUGGCAGGAUGCAUAACUGUUAAUCCCAGAGUGCAACGGAGUGCAAUGCCGGGGAACUGAGGCAGCAUCCCACGCCAUUACAGCGUGCUACGGUACAGUACAGACCAGCUUACCCGAUGAUCUAUCAGAGAAUGCUGCUUUUUUAGAACCAAGCUCUCAUCUCUAAAGAGACCAACCCUACGAGGAGGCCAGCGCCACAAACGAACAUAUAAAGACAAGAGGUCAACAAGCAGCUAAGUCUAUACAGCAACCUCAACAACUACAGUAGAAGCACAAGACAAAAAUAAAUUGAUUCCUGAUUGAACCUGCUCUUGACUAUGUUCCUGAAUACUCCUUGGGAUUGUUCACCUGGAACCUGUUAUUCUACUCCUUGUUCUUAUCCCUAGCUCUGCUCCGAUCUGGGCUCUUUUCCAUGGGCCUUGUCGAUUAUUACAGAUUGGCCCCACACACUCCAAUCCGUCUGAACUGCAAUAUUGGAGGUAGCCCAUGGAA